rnacentral:rRNA from 1 species
GUGAGGAAUUUUCCGCAAUGGGCGAAAGCCUGACGGAGCAAUGCCGCGUGAAGGAUGAAGGCCUAUGGGUUGUAAACUUCUUUUCUCAGAAAAGAAUUAUGACGGUAUCUGAGGAAUAAGCAUCGGCUAACUCUGUGCCAGCAGCCGCGGUAAGACAGAGGAUGCAAGCGUUAUCCGGAAUGAUUGGGCGUAAAGCGUCUGUAGGUUGUUUAAAAAGUAUUCUGUCAAAGAUUAGGGCUUAACCCUAGAUAGGCAGAAUAAACUUUUAAGAUAGAGGUUGGUAGAGGCAGAGGGAAUUCCCGGUGGAGCGGUGAAAUGCGUAGAUAUCGGGAGGAACACCAAAGGCGAAGGCACUCGGCUGGGCCAAUACUAACACUGAGAGACGAAAGCGAGGGGAGCAAAUGGGAUUAGAAACCCGGGUAUCC